CCCCGUUCCCAAACCCCACCCCAGUCAAGGACCCUCAUCCUCAUCCCCGUCACCCCCGGAGCAGCCGGGAGCGGGGUGGUGACACUGCCCGGGUGACACCGGAGCCAAGGAGAAGCCACCGAGCAUCCCUGUGACAUUCCUGCCGCUGCGGGUUGGGUGUUAACACGGGGAAGGAAAUCCUUCCUUCCUUCCUUCCCAACACCAACUUUUAUCUGGACAGCGUCUCCUCCCCAGCCCACAGCGGGUCCGUCCUGUCACCAAACCCAGCUCCCUCCCGGCACUGUCCACCCCAGACACCAUCCCUGGAUCCGCAGGGAUCUCAUCCCAUCUCAAAGCAGCAGCUCCAGCUCCCCCCCGGGCAGGGGGGGUCCCCUGCUGCCACAUCCAGAGGAAUUUGGGAAUGUGGCCCGAGAGCCUCGUUCCCUUUCCCGGCCUCUCCUGGGCCCACCGUGCAUCUCCGGCCGCGUGGUUCCACCCCUGCCUGUCCCUGGCGGAAUCCCUGGGCUGGAAUUGUUGGAUUGUCCCCCCCCCGAACAUCCCUGCGGGUGCCACCGGCUGAUGUCACCGCGCCGAGGUGACAGCGUGCACGCGCCACAAAGCCAGGAGGGCAGGACGCGGCGCCAUCCCUCAAUCCCGCUCCUGAAUGCCACCGGAGCACUCAGGAUGUGGCAUGCUGGGGACAGAGCCACAGGGCUGGGGGACACUCCCAGAGCCCCAGGGACACAUCCCAGCACAGCCAGGGCCGCUUUUGGGGACACAGCGGGUCCCUCCCCACGGCGCCCUGCUCUGCCCGUUCCCACAUCCCAGCUCCCCCUGUCCCUCAUUGUCCCCAACUGCCAGAGCCAGCAGGGAAAGCAGGGACAAGCUUGGGGACACACCAGAGCCAGCGGAACCACGGAGCCAGAGCCGCUCCAAGGAGGAGUUUUUAUCUUCCCUGAGGAAGCGGGACCACGGUGUCCUUCAUCCCCAGCCUCCUCCUCCUCUGCCCCGUCCUAAAAUCGGCGUUAUCAGCCGCGGGCCCUUGAAAAGUAACAGGAUUCCGUUUCCUGUUUUUCCCAUGGAAACCCUCAAAUAGAAGCUGGCCUCAUUACGGCCGCUUUUCGGGUCUCUGGGUGGGUUUUUUUUCAGCCGGGCUAACAACAAUGAGCCAUUUCCUCCGGCG
rnacentral:lncRNA from 1 species